rnacentral:rRNA from 1 species
CCUACGUGGGGCAGCAGUAGGGAAUCUUCCACAAUGGGCGAAAGCCUGAUGCAGCAACGCCGCGUGGGUGAAGAAGGUCUUCGGAUCGUAAAACCUUGUUGUUAGAGAAGAAAGUGCGUGAGAGUAACUGUUCACGUUUCUACGUUAUCUAACCAGAACGCCACGGCUAACUACGUGCCAGCAGCAGCGGUAAUACGUAGGUGGCGAGCGUUAUCCGGAUUUAUUGGGCGUAAAGGGAACGCAGACGGUCUUUUAAGUCUGAUGUGAAAGCCUUCGGCUUAACCGGAGCAGUGCAUUGGAAACUGGGAGACGUGAGUGCAGAAGAGGAGAGUGGAACUCCAGGUGUAGCGGUGAAAUGCGUAGAUAUAUGGAAGAACACCAGUGGCGAAAGCAGCUCUCUGGUCUGUAACUGACGCUGAGGUUCGAAAGCGUGGGUAGCAAACAGGAUUAGAUACCCUUGUAGUC